rnacentral:rRNA from 1 species
ACUCAGGUGUUGUUGGGUAGGGGAGCGUUCUGUAAGCCUGUGAAGGUGUGUCGUGAGGCAUGCUGGAGGUAUCAGAAGUGCGAAUGCUGACAUAAGUAACGAUAAAGCGGGUGAAAAGCCCGCUCGCCGGAAGACCAAGGGUUCCUGUCCAACGUUAAUCGGGGCAGGGUGAGUCGACCCCUAAGGCGAGGCCGAAAGGCGUAGUCGAUGGGAAACGGGUUAAUAUUCCCGUACUUGGUGUUACUGCGAAGGGGGGACGGAGAAGGCUAUGUUGGCCGGGCGACGGUUGUCCCGGUUUAAGCGUGUAGGUGUGUGUUCCAGGUAAAUCCGGUUCACUUUAACACUGAGGCGUGAUGACGAGGCACUACGGUGCUGAAGCAACAAAUGCCCUGCUUCCAGGAAAAGCCUCUAAGCAUCAGGUAACAUCAAAUCGUACCCCAAACCGACACAGGUGGUCAGGUAGAGAAUACCAAGGCGCUUGAGAGAACUCGGGUGAAGGAACUAGGCAAAAUGGUGCCGUAACUUCGGGAGAAGGCACGCUGACACGUAGGUGAAGUGAUUUACUCAUGGAGCUGAAGUCAGUCGAAGAUACCAGCUGGCUGCAACUGUUUAUUAAAAACACAGCACUGUGCAAACACGAAAGUGGACGUAUACGGUGUGACGCCUGCCCGGUGCCGGAAGGUUAAUUGAUGGGGUCAGCGCAAGCGAAGCUCCUGAUCGAAGCCCCGGUAAACGGCGGCCGUAACUAUAACGGUCCUAAGGUAGCGAAAUUCCUUGUCGGGUAAGUUCCGACCUGCACGAAUGGCGUAAUGAUGGCCAGGCUGUCUCCACCCGAGACUCAGUGAAAUUGAACUCGCUGUGAAGAUGCAGUGUACCCGCGGCAAGACGGAAAGACCCCGUGAACCUUUACUAUAGCUUGACACUGAACAUUGAGCCUUGAUGUGUAGGAUAGGUGGGAGGCUUUGAAGUGUGGACGCCAGUCUGCAUGGAGCCGACCUUGAAAUACCACCCUUUAAUGUUUGAUGUUCUAACGUGGACCCGUGAUCCGGGUUGCGGACAGUGUCUGGUGGGUAGUUUGACUGGGGCGGUCUCCUCCUAAAGAGUAACGGAGGAGCACGAAGGUUGGCUAAUCCUGGUCGGACAUCAGGAGGUUAGUGCAAUGGCAUAAGCCAGCUUGACUGCGAGCGUGACGGCGCGAGCAGGUGCGAAAGCAGGUCAUAGUGAUCCGGUGGUUCUGAAUGGAAGGGCCAUCGCUCAACGGAUAAAAGGUACUCCGGGGAUAACAGGCUGAUACCGCCCAAGAGUUCAUAUCGACGGCGGUGUUUGGCACCUCGAUGUCGGCUCAUCACAUCCUGGGGCUGAAGUAGGUCCCAAGGGUAUGGCUGUUCGCCAUUUAAAGUGGUACGCGAGCUGGGUUUAGAACGUCGUGAGACAGUUCGGUCCCUAUCUGCCGUGGGCGCUGGAGAACUGAGGGGGGCUGCUCCUAGUACGAGAGGACCGGAGUGGACGCAUCACUGGUGUUCGGGUUGUCAUGCCAAUGGCACUGCCCGGUAGCUAAAUGCGGAAGAGAUAAGUGCUGAAAGCAUCUAAGCACGAAACUUGCCCCGAGAUGAGUUCUCCCUGAGACUUAGAGUCUCCUGAAGGAACGUUGAAGACGACGACGUUGAUAGGCCGGGUGUGUAAGCGCAGCGAUGCGUUGAGCUAACCGGUACUAAUGAACCGUGAGGCUUAACCUUACA